AGUGAACGCUGGCGGUAGACCUAACACAUGCAAGUCGAACGGCAGCACAGUAAGAGCUUGCUCUUACGGGUGGCGAGUGGCGGACGGGUGAGGAAUACAUCGGAAUCUACUUUUUCGUGGGGGAUAACGUAGGGAAACUUACGCUAAUACCGCAUACGACCUACGGGUGAAAGCAGGGGAUCUUCGGACCUUGCGCGAUUGAAUGAGCCGAUGUCGGAUUAGCUAGUUGGCGGGGUAAAGGCCCACCAAGGCGACGAUCCGUAGCUGGUCUGAGAGGAUGAUCAGCCACACUGGAACUGAGACACGGUCCAGACUCCUACGGGAGGCAGUAGUGGGGAAUAUUGGACAAUGGGCGCAAGCCUGAUCCAGCCAUACCGCGUGGGUGAAGAAGGCCUUCGGGUUGUAAAGCCCUUUUGUUGGGAAAGAAAAGCAGCAGGUUAAUACCCCGCUGUUCUGACGGUACCCAAAGAAUAAGCACCGGCUAACUUCGUG
rnacentral:rRNA from 1 species